rnacentral:misc_RNA from 1 species
AACUUUCAGCAAUGGAUCACUUGGCUCUCGCAUCGAUGAAGAACGCAGCGAAAUGCGAUACGUAAUGUGCAUUGCAGAAUUCAGUGAAUCAUCGAAUCUUUGAACGCACCUUGCACCCUUUGGUAUUCCGAAGGGUAUGCUCGUUUGAGUGUCAUUGUACUCUCACACUCUCUGAUCCUUUGGAUUCAGGGAGUGGUGGACUUGGGUGUUUGCUGCUUUCCUUGUGGCUCACCUCAAAUGCGUCAGUGCACCUCUUGGUUGGACAUAGUACGGUGUGAUAAGUAUCUUCGCCGGCACCUCGCGAGAGGGUGGCUGAUCGGGAGCUCUGUCCUUUCAAACCGUCUUCGGACAAUCUCUGACAACUUGACCUCAAAUCGAGUAGGACUACCCGCUGAACUUAAGCAUAUCAAUAAGCGGAGGCU